rnacentral:rRNA from 1 species
CGGGUGGUUUGUCGCCUCGCCGUUUACCGCGGCGCGGCUUAAACAAACCCCCCGGCCCUCCCCUCGCGGGGGGGGCCCGCCGGAGGUCACGUUAACUCUUGAUACCCGUAACGGCCUCUCUGAGUAUACUGUACUGAAUUAAGUCAAAACUUUCAACAGCGGAUCUCUUGGUUCUGGCAUCGAUGAAGAACGCAGCGAAAUGCGAUAAGUAAUGUGAAUUGCAGAAUUCAGAUGAAUCAUCGAAUCUUUGAACGCACAUUGCGCCCGCCAGUAUUCUGGCGGGCAUGCCUGUUCGAGCGUCAUUUCAACCUUCAAGCCCCUGGGCUUGUGUUGGGGACCUGCGGCUGCCCGCAGGCCCUGAAAUAUUGUGGCAGACUCGCUAGUCACACCCGAGCGAAAUCUCAUCUAUCUCGCUUAGGGCGCGCUGCGCGGUUCUGGACGCUUAAACUCUCCCCCUAUCUAAACCCUAAGGUUGACCUCGGAUCAGGUUCGAAGACCCCGCCUGAACU